UUACGUUAGGCAAGUGCGCAGUUGAUGAAGAAAAUGAAGCGGUCUAAUAAACCCUCCGGUGCACAGGGACGAAAACGGAGAAAGGUAGAAGAUAAAAGGAGAACCCAGUAUAGAGAUGCACUCAGGCAAUAUUUGCAGAGGCCGGCACCUGCUGGAGAAAGGACACCUGAUCCUUCAUGUUCUCCUCUCUCUGAACUUUCUGCAGGAGUAGGGACAUCCAGUAGUGGUACUCCAGGGACCAGUGACACACAGGCCAGAACACACAGCCUGCAUCAAGGGAGUCUAUUUAAUAGUAUUUAUUCAAGCCACAUCCAUA